AAGACUCACACCCCGACCUCCAUCUUUAAUCGCCUCCUGCUUUGGCUUUGCUCGUCCUCAGCUUCAAACCCAGCGUCGGUGACAAACAGGUCAGAUUUAAGAAAAAUUAACCGAACCACUCUGAAGGAAAAUGAUAAAAAUCAAUCAUCAAAGAUUUUAUUACUAUUACAAAACUAUACUACUACUCAGAGCGCAGUAGUAGCAGUUGCUUUAUAAAUAAAUAUAAAUGACUACUCCGUCUAGUUAUUCAUGUCAAUGAUAAUAAUAAUUAUAUUUAGCACAAAAAACACUAAACAUAAUAAUAAUCAUAUUAAUAAUAACAAUGUACUGUAUGUUUGAUUACUUUUAAUAUCUACUACUUCUAUUACAAAGGCAACUUAUACUUCUAUUUACUUAAACUAUAGCUACUAAUGCAACUUCUACUACCACUACUUCAACUUCUACUUCUACUACUACUAUAAUAAUAAUAAUAAUAAUAAUAAUAAUAAUAAUAAUAAAACCACUAUGGCAAUUUAAUUUUAGAGCAUGAGCAACACAUUCAGUUCAGUUUCAUUAAUGAAACAUAAUGAACUUACAACAUUAUCACAAUUCUUAAGCAGUGAUCAGCAAAUUGUUUAACUUUUAAUUAAAGACAACACUAACACAUAGAGUUGAUGACAGCAGUUUUAUUAAACAUCAUCCUGAAUUUAGGGGCAGCAUAAAGAACAGAAACAAAACAUAAGUCAAGAAAUAAUUAGAUUUACUUUCAAAAGUUUAACUGAUUUAGUGGAAAGGGAAUCUCUCUAGAUGGUUUUACUGUCAGACCCCUGAGUUACACUAAAAACACAUUUAGCCAUGAAAAGAGACAAAUUAAUUACAGUUCACUAUUGAUCAUCAUCAGUUUGCACAAUUGUACAACCACAAUGUACAUCACUGCUAAAUGUUGGAAAAUGUCUUUGGCAAAUUCUGUACCUACCUGAGCCCAUUCAAACAGCAUCAUCCACAAUUAUCAGCGUCACUGGAUAUUAAAGAUAAGAUUUAAACUGGAAUUCAAAAGUAACAUCUGAAGAGCCAUUUUUUACUUUGAAGAUCAAAAUCAAAAUAUCAUAUACUGUCCCUGGUGGAAAAAAAUCUAUGUCUCCCACGACCACAGGUGGAUAAAAUCCAGCACCUUGCAGACGGCUUCAACAAAUAUUUGUUAACGUGUCAAAUGCACAAAGAACAGAGCAUAACAAUUAAUUAGAAACAAAAAGCAAAUAGAUGAAACUAUAUGACAUCACUGUUAAAACAAUAAAGAACUCAAGCAAACAUAAAUAAACAACAACAAAAAUGGUCAAAACACAGACACCUGCCCUCUGACCUCAACCCAUAGUGUUGGCGUUCUCGUCCAACAUCAGUGUCUGACCUCACUGAUACUCCUCUGAAAGAAUGGUCAACAUUUCUCUUAAAGAUUGUGGAAAAUAUUCCAGGACGAGUUUAAGCUGUAAAAGUGAGUUCUGGUAUGAAAUCCUACAGAUUAAGAAGGAAAUGUUUCUCAUGUUCAGACCUGUGGAAAGGCAAAUUAUUGAAUUACUUGGCAGUAAAGUUAAUGCAUGGUUUCUUAAAUAUGUAAAAAAAAAAAUAGAUAAAAAAAAGUACAUGAUUUUUAUUCUAAUGAAUACUUUAAAAACCUGAAACUGAAUUCCUGUCACGACCUAUGAAGUUCAAAUCACCUUUCUGAAACUUAAUGCAACUUAAGUAAUUCAGAGUAUGAACAUGAAAACAUGAAAUACCUGACAUCCCAAUGAAACUGGUGUGUAAACCAAUGUUUUUGUUCCCUUUGAAGUGAUUUGCAUCAUCAGUUCUUGACUUUUCUUAGAUUGGGCAGAAAAAGAGUAAAAAGCAACCAUAACGUUCAGCAUCGAUCAAUAGUUUAAGCUAUAUGAGAUAGUUUAGCUCCACGGAAACAAAAUAUAAACAAUCAGAGAUGAGUUAAUAUUUUUACACGGUAUCAGCACACUGUUUAUUCAUAAACAACUACUUUUGAUUUAUGAACAGCAUAAAUCAGCUGUUUGCUUCAGGUAACAGAUUCUUUCAAUUUAUUAACAUUUUUAUCAGAUUUGGCUCCAUAACUUCAGAGAAGCGUAAUGCGACGUCUGCUCAUUUGGCUGCUGACACUUCAAGCCAAACAGCAGCUUUGAACAGACAUCUCGCGUUCACAACAACAAGCAGACGAUCGGGCGACGAUUUCGCCCCGGAGCUUUGGACCUUCAGAGGGGAGAAUGUGGCGUGACUGAACAAGCAGGGCAGGGGCUCGUUUCACCCGCAGAGAGCAGCCUGGACGUGCACAGAGUGGCUCCUCCUGGGACAAAUCCACUCACACACACUCACUUUACAGGUGUGUGUCUGUUACUCCAGAGGACCUGCAGAAAGUUCCAGGAAAUGUAUUCUAAUGCGAAUCUCACCGCUACUGCUGUUUUAUUCAGACUUGCCAACAGAGUUGCCCUCAGAGUUUCAUCAUCCAAACAGGUUUAUGUCCCAACAGUGUGAGUUACGCCAUGCAGGACCACACACAGCAGCAGUCACUGAAGACCAGUCCAGGCUUGCUGUGAGCUACUCCCAGAAACCCAGCUAGCACCAUGACACACACAAAAUGUCACAAAUAAUGCAGCCAGGAAAAUUUCAGAAAGCUCUACCAAAAGAUGUAUCAUUAUUUUGUUUUUAUGUGCAGAAUGGUGUCAGAAUGACGCCAGCCGGUGACCAGGAACCUUUAGGCCGAGAAUGUCUUAUUUAUCAUUUAUAGUAAAUUUUGAUUUGGAUCCAGAUUAAAAAGUACGACACUAAUAAAACCACCAACUGAAUCCACUGAGUCAGGAUGACUUUCCCCAGACACUGAACGCCUCACAGGUGCACCUGCAAAAACAAAACAAUUUAGACCCCAACAUUUGUAAAAAAAAAUAAAUAAAUAAAAUAAAAAACAUCUCUUGUACAUGGACCAUGAGCCCAGGUACUCCACAAGGCUGUGUGCUCAGCCCACUCAUAUUGUACAGAAGCGGCACAAAGACAGGAGGUAAAAUCAUGAAGGAACCCAGCUGCCGAGGUUUUUCAGAAACACUUCCUGCAGUGAGUCAGGUUAAAAGACAUCAUAAAACUGUCACUGAACGCCUGCUCUGAACUCUAGACGUGGCUCCAGCUCACAAACAUUUUCCUUUCUGGUCACAGGUCAAACCUCAGGUCCAAAACUUUCAAUUUUGCACUUGAUCAAAAAUCUCACAUCAUUUAGGCAUUAAGUUAGCUAUUUUUAAUUUGAUUAGUUUUAUUAAUCCUUCUUUCAACAUACAACACAAUCCACAGAUCUUGUCUAAGACAUUAAUAUGUAAAGCACCCAUCUGUUUGCAGUUUAAUGUUUUUGAUUUUUAUUGGAUAUGUAAUUUGUUUUUACUCUGAAGCCUUUAUUUUCUUAACAAAUAAAUAAUAAACAUGUAUGCUUAUUGUACUUAUAUUUGUCAUUAUUACCACAAUGAAUCAAUCAAGUUUAUUUAUAUAGAACAUUUCAGCAACAAGGCAGUCCAAAGUGCUUGACAUCAUAAAAAUACAAAGUCAUAGAAAACAUUGCACAGUAACAAACAUUACAUUUUGAUGAGUGCAAUGUAACAGCAUAAUGCUGUGGUGAUUUUAUUUAUCUAUAUAUAUUUUUUUAGAAAUGACAGGGAAGCUGAUCAGACCAGAUGGGAAGAUGUACAAAUACAGAGCGACUGGGAAAACUGCCUUAAAACUGUUUUACUCUUUUCAGACAUACUUUAAUCCAAAAAGAAGUCGGUUAGCCUUUGCAAAAUGCAAAUUCAGAGUAAAUGUCAGAGCUUUUCUACAAGCAGUAUUAUUCAGCAACUUUGUUUCUCUCAGAUAUUUUAAUGAAAACAAA